rnacentral:tRNA from 1 species
GGAAGAUUAGCUCAGUUGGGAGAGCGUCUGCCUUACAAGCAGACAGGUUCGAGUAUCUUCAU